GUAGGUGAACCUGCGGAAGGAUCAUUAAUAAGUCGUCCCAUGCCCGUUCGUCGGGUAGGACAGAUUCCUCGCAUUUGGAUCCGGUUAGCCUAGGAGGCCGGAUUUCUGCUUAUAGGGAUGGAGGGGCUCAUGGGCCCCCGGGACAGCCUUGCGCUUGCGCGGCACCCGUCAACAAGUCCGACCUAUUUGUAAGCUUGCGAUGGUGGGUAGGAAUACCGCCUUCAGGAGUUGUGAUUUAAACCCGUGUCUA
rnacentral:misc_RNA from 1 species